rnacentral:rRNA from 1 species
GGGCACGACACCGGAGAGGGAGUCUGAGAAACGGCUACCACAUCCAAGGAUGGCAGCAGGCGCGCAAAUUACCCAAUCCCGACACGGGGAGGUAGUGACAAUAAAUAACAAUACGGGGUUCUUUAGGAUCUCGUAAUUGGAAUGAGUACAAUUUAAAUCUCUUAACGAGGAACAAUUGGAGGGCAAGUCUGGUGCCAGCAGCCGCGGUAAUUCCAGCUCCAAUAGCGUAUAUUAAAGUUGUUGCAGUUAAAAAGCUCGUAGUUGAAUUUCGGGGUUAGUAGGUUGGUCAUGCCUCUGGUAUGUACUGGUCUCACUGAUUCCUCCUUCCUUAUGAACCGUAAUGCCAUUAAUUUGGUGUUGCGGGGAAUUUGGACUGUUACUUUGAAAAAAUUAGAGUGUUUAAAGCAAGCUAACGCUUGAAUACAUUAGCAUGGAAUAAUGAAAUAGGACGUUCGAUCUUAUUUUGUUGGUUUCUAGGAUUGACGUAAUGAUUAAUAGGGAUAGUUGGGGGCAUUAGUAUUCAAUUGUCAGAGGUGAAAUUCUUGGAUUUAUUGAAGACUAACUACUGCGAAAGCAUUUGCCAAGGAUGUUUUCAUUAAUCAAGAACGAAAGUUAGGGGAUCGAAGACGAUCAGAUACCGUCGUAGUCUUAACCAUAAACUAUGCCGACUAGGGAUCGGAUGAUG